ACAGGUGUGUACAUUAUUGGAACAGGUUCUUUGAUGCAUCGAAAUCGAGCGAGAAAACUUUACCGAUAGUUCACUUUAACCCACGAAGAAACGACGAAUUUCGAGCAGUAUCGUUGGACUUAAUUAGCCUAGUAGUAGAGUCGAGCCAAUGAAAAGUUUCUAUUCUUCCUGUUACUGGAUCCUCCGUUAUCUGUGGUUCACUAUUCAAUAAACUCGAUAAGAGCACCUAUAAUAUAAUUACAAGAAAAAAAUGAUAAUAAAUUAAAAAUAUAAAUGAAUCUCGAAUAAGAA